UUGGAGGGCAAGUCUGGUGCCAGCAGCCGCGGUAAUUCCAGCUCCAAUAGCGUAUAUUAAAGUUGUUGCAGUUAAAAAGCUCGUAGUUGAAUUUCGGGGUCAGCAGGUUGGUCGUGCCACUGGUAUGCACUGGCCUUGCUGAUUCCUCCCUCUUGAUGAGCCGUAAUGUCAUUAAUUUGGUGUUGCGGGGAAUCAGGACUGUUACUUUGAAAAAAUUAGAGUGUUUAAAGCAAGCAAGCGCUUGAAUACAUUAGCAUGGAAUAAUGAAAUAGGACGUUUGAUCCUAUUUUGUUGGUUUCUAGGAUUGACGUAAUGAUUAAUAGGGAUAGUUGGGGGCAUUAGUAUUCAAUUGUCAGAGGUGAAAUUCUUGGAUUUAUUGAAGACUGACUACUGCGAAAGCAUUUGCCAAGGAUGUUUUCAUUAAUCAAGAACGAAAGUUAGGGGAUCGAAGACGAUCAGAUACCGUCGUAGUCUUAACCAUAAACUAUGCCGACUAGGGAUCGGAUGAUGUUAAUUUUUUAAUGACUCAUUCGGCGCCUUACGGGAAACCAAAGUGUUUGGGUUC
rnacentral:rRNA from 1 species